GACGUAGGGUGCAAGCGUUGUCCGGAUUUACUGGGCGUAAAGAGCGCGUAGGCGGCUCGUUAAGUGAGAAGUGAAAGCUGUGGGCUCAACCCACAAACCGCUUUUCAUACUGGCGAGCUGGAGUGAUGCAGAGGUGGAUAGAAUUCCUGGUGUAGCGGUGAAAUGCGUUGAUAUCAGGAGGAAUACCCGUGGCGAAGGCGGUCCACUGGGCAUCAACUGACGCUGAGGCGCGAAAGCGUGGGGAGCAAACGGG
rnacentral:rRNA from 1 species